UGGUGGAGCGAUUUGUCUGGUUUAUUCCGAUAACGAACGAGACUCUGGCCUACUAAAUAGAGACAGGAUUAUUACUGUCCUGGAUUCUUCUUAGAGGGACAAGUGGUUUCAGCCACACGAAAUUGAGCAAUAACA
rnacentral:rRNA from 1 species